rnacentral:RNase_P_RNA from 1 species
GGGACGGCACGCAGCUGACGGUGCUUUUUUGCGCUGAGGAACGUCCGCCCACUGAAGCUUUAUCCUGUGGUUCAAUCCCCUAGGUAAGGUGGAGCAGCUGCCUGCGAGAGCAGGACCCAGCAAUGGGUGGCAACCACACAGAAACGAGACCGCCUGCAUGCGGCAACCGAUGAUGGAAGCGAAGGUUUCGGCAACGGAACUGAGGAGACCUCCUGAGCAGUAUGCAGGAAUGGAUGAAACGGUGAGCCCCGGCUUGUGCAAGGGCUUUGGCCCGCUUAGUUGAAUGCUGCGAAGUGGCAUCGGCAUCACCAGUUGAUGCUUUGGCCAUUACAGAAGGCGGCGUAUGCCUGCCC